rnacentral:lncRNA from 1 species
GUAAAUGAGAUUAUCAGGUGUGUAGCCAAAUGUCACUUCCACAAACUGCAGAACAGGAGGGGGAAGUUUGCCAACAUCAGGAAACCGGAAGACCAGGACCUUGUCCUUCACCACCUUCUCUGUUAGCCCUCCACGCUCCAUCUUAGCCAGCGUUUUCUCUUUGCUUUGUGCUUGACGGGCUAGUUAAGCCCUCCACGCUCCAUCUUAGCCAGUGUUUUCUCUUUGCUUUGUGCUUGACGGGCUAGUUUGGCUGAUCCAUGCCCAAAACGAGCAAUGUACUCUUUCAUUGAAGCAAUCUGCUCCUGCUCCCAUCUGAACUGUUUCAUCUGAUUCUCUUCCAGCUCCUCACGGGUUUGG